rnacentral:rRNA from 1 species
CCCUUAGAUGCUCUGGGCCGCACGCGCGCUACACUGGUCGAUGCAACGAGUUUCUUUCCUUGGCCGACAGGCCUGGGCAAUCUUUGAACAUCGAUCGUGAUCGGGAUAGAUUCUUGUAAUUUUUGAUCUUAAACGAGGAAUUCCUAGUAAACGCAAGUCAUCAGCUUGCAUUGAUUACGUCCCUGCCCUUUGUACACACCGCCCGUCGCACCUACCGAUUGAAUGGUCCGGUGAAAUCUCCGGACUGGCGUGAGUUGGAGCAAUCUGACAAACACCGGAAAGUUGAUUAAACCUUACCAUUUAGAGGAAGGUGAAGUCGUAACA